rnacentral:rRNA from 1 species
GCGUGCCUACGGGACGCAGCAGUAGGGAAUCUUCCACAAUGGGCGAAAGCCUGAUGGGGCAACGCCGCGUGGGUGAAGAAGGUCUUCGGAUCGUAAAACCCUGUUGUUAGAGAAGAAAGUGCGUGAGAGUAACUGUUCACAUUUCGACGGUAUCUAACCAGAAAGCCACGGCUAACUACGUGCCAGCAGCCGCGGUAAUACGUAGGUGGCAAGCGUUAUCCGGAUUUAUUCGGCGUAAAGG